rnacentral:lncRNA from 1 species
GAAGUGUGCAAUUAUCAAUCUCCUUGGCUAUAAAUAGAAGCUCCAUUGCUCAAAAAUGGGGACCCUAGCGUGCAAGCUUUGAAUCAGCAACCCUAAACCCUCACAUUCAAAUGAUAAUCUUGAAGAUUUUCUUUGAAAAUCGAGUUUGAAUCUCACUAUUUUUGAGAUUGAAACUCCAAUAGUCCUUCCUUCUCUUUGAUCCAUUUCCACUCCAUCAAGCAUCUGAAGCAAGGUCAAGCAUAAUUGAGAGCAAGAUCGUGCCAAU